rnacentral:rRNA from 1 species
GGAUGCAUGUCUUGUGGUGGAAAGCGCUUUAGCGGUGUGGGAUGAGCCCGCGGCCUAUCAGCUUGUUGGUGGGGUGACGGCCUACCAAGGCGACGACGGGUAGCCGGCCUGAGAGGGUGUCCGGCCACACUGGGACUGAGAUACGGCCCAGACUCCUACGGGAGGCAGCAGUGGGGAAUAUUGCACAAUGGGCGCAAGCCUGAUGCAGCGACGCCGCGUGGGGGAUGACGGCCUUCGGGUUGUAAACCUCUUUCACCAUCGACGAAGGUCCGGGUUCUCUCGGAUUGACGGUAGGUGGAGAAGAAGCACCGGCCAACUACGUGCCAGCAGCCGCGGUAAUACGUAGGGUGCGAGCGUUGUCCGGAAUUACUGGGCGUAAAGAGCUCGUAGGUGGUU